UGGGGAAUUUUGGACAAUGGGGGCAACCCUGAUCCAGCCAUUCCGCGUGAGUGAAGAAGGCCUUCGGGUUGUAAAGCUCUUUCGGCAGGAACGAAAAGGUGUCUCCUAAUACGGGAUGCUCAUGACGGUACCUGAAGAAGAAGCACCGGCUAACUACGUGCCAGCAGCCGCGGUAAUACGUAGGGUGCGAGCGUUAAUCGGAAUUACUGGGCGUAAAGCGUGCGCAGGCGGUUUCGUAAGACAGAUGUGAAAUCCCCGGGCUUAACCUGGGAACUGCGUUUGUGACUGCGAGACUCGAGUGCGGCAGAGGGGGGUGGAAUUCCACGUGUAGCAGUGAAAUGCGUAGAGAUGUGGAGGAACACCGAUGGCGAAGGCAGCCCCCUGGGUCGACACUGACGCUCAUGCACGAAAGCGUGGGUAGCAAACAGG
rnacentral:rRNA from 1 species